AGAGUUUGAUCCUGGCUCAGAUUGAACGCUGGCGGCAGGCCUACCACAUGCAAGUCGAGCGGUAACAGAGAUAGCUUGCUAUCUGCUGACGAGCGGCGGACGGGUGCGUAACACGUAGGAAUCUGCCCGGUAGUGGGGGAUAGCCCGGAGAAAUUCGGAUUAAUACCGCAUACGCCCUAAGGGGGAAGGCAGGGGAUCUUCGGACCUUGCGCUAUCGGAUGAGCCUGCGUCGGAUUAGCUAGUUGGUGGGGUAAAGGCCCACCAAGGUGACGAUCCGUAGCUGGUCUGAGAGGAUGAUCAGCCACACUGGGACUGAGACACGGCCCAGACUCCUACGGGAGGCAGCAGUGGGGAAUAUUGCACAAUGGGCGCAAGCCUGAUGCACCCAUGCCGCGUGUGUGAAGAAGGCCUUAGGGUUGUAAAGCACUUUCAGCGAGGAGGAAAGGUUAUAAGUUAAUACCUUAUAGCUGUGACGUUACUCGCAGAAGAAGCACCGGCUAACUCCGUGCCAGCAGCCGCGGUAAUACGGAGGGUGCGAGCGUUAAUCGGAAUUACUGGGCGUAAAGCGUGCGUAGGCGGCAGCCUAAGUUGGAUGUGAAAGCCCCGGGCUCAACCUGGGAACUGCAUCCAAAACUGGGCAGCUAGAGUGCCGAAGAGGAGUGUGGAAUUUCCUGUGUAGCGGUGA
rnacentral:rRNA from 1 species